rnacentral:rRNA from 1 species
CAAGCCGACGAUGCGUAGGGGUUCUGAGAGGAAGGUCCCCCACAUUGGAACUGAGACACGGUCCAAACUCCUACGGGAGGCAGCAGUGAGGAAUAUUGGUCAAUGGCCGGAAGGCUGAACCAGCCAAGUCGCGUGAGGGAAUAAGGCCCUACGGGUCGUAAACCUCUUUUGCCAGGGAGCAAUGCCGUCCACGUGUGGACGGAAGGAGAGUACCUGGAGAAAAAGCAUCGGCUAACUCCGUGCCAGCAGCCGCGGUAAUACGGAGGAUGCGAGCGUUAUCCGGAUUUAUUGGGUUUAAAGGGUGCGUAGGCGGCCUGCCAAGUCAGCGGUAAAAUUGCGGGGCUCAACCCCGUACAGCCGUUGAAACUGCCGGGCUCGAGUGGGCGAGAAGUAUGCGGAAUGCGUGGUGUAGCGGUGAAAUGCAUAGAUAUCACGCAGAACCCCGAUUGCGAAGGCAGCAUACCGGCGCCCGACUGACGCUGAGGCACGAAAGUGCGGGGAUCAAACAGGAUUAGAUACCCUGGUAGUCCGCACAGUAAA